GCGGGCACCGCCCGUUUCUUAUAAAAAGAGGUGGAAGGCAGGGAAGAGAACGCGUUCCACGGUGGAGUGCGCUGGGGGCAUACUGCUCUCUUAUUUUCUCUUUCCCUUGCUGACCCAUGUGGAAUGGCCCUCUCCAGUACUCACGUUGAGAUUCUGAGGCGUGGCUUUGAUGGAUGGUUCCAGCUCAGUCUUUCAUAAGUUUGCAGACAAGUCGUUGGCUGGACUGCGGACCUGAAGCAUUGACUGGAAUUGGAGGAUCACUUCCAAGCUCGCGCACACAGCUGUUGGCAGGGGAAUUCUGCUCCUUACCAAGUGGGCCUCUCCACACAGGACGUUGCCUCCUACAGGAGACAGAAGUCAGAGCAAGCCAUUCAAGAGAGAAAUGAGAGAAAUGUCUGCGGCCGCCAGGGCUGGGCCAGGCCAAAGCCAGGGGCUGCGAACUCAAUCCAAGCCUCCCAUAUUAUUUUGGAAGUGCACAUGGUUUGGAAGAACAGUUCUAGGUCUAUGCUGAGUACCCAUGAACCUACAAAUGCCGAAACAGGAAGAGGAGAUUUGGAGAAGUUUUUCAACAGAGGCUAAAGAAGCCAAUGAGGGUACAUCAGUAGGCUUUCAACUGGAUACUUCUAGGCUUAAAGUCAGACAGGCUGCACGUGUGUAAGAAACAUGACCUGCUGGGAUCUCCAUGCCCCGUGCUUCACGAGUGAGAACGAGCCAGGAAUGGCUGCUCAUCCCCAUGCAUGCAUGGCUCGGCCUGAGAAGCCAACUGGAGCCACCCAGAGACAAUCACAUGCCCUCUGCAAACACCGGACAUUCCUCCAACAUGGAGAUGGGAGCACUGAUCAAAGACUGAAGUGGUUCCGGACAGUCAACUGGUAACCGGUAACACAUUGCUAUGGUUUGAUAGUUACAGAAGUGCAACUCCUGCUCCCCCGCUUCCUCUCUUGGGAUGUCACUUCUUUCUUCUGCAUGCAUGCUGCUUGCCUCUCACACAAGCUUCCUGUCACCAGAGAAGCAGAGCCUUUGUACCUGAGCUUCCUUGGAACCCCCUGCUGCUUGGUGGAUCUGCGCCUCUAAGGACGUGAAUCAUAAAAAAAGGAGGCUACCGCAUCUUUUAGAGAAAGACCUGAGUCUCAGCUGAAACCAGUGGAAGCUGCUCCUGCGAGAUCCGUGAGAGCUCAAGAAUAAAACAGCAAAUAACCACAUCAAGGAAAGGAUUUAUGAAUGCAAGCUAUUAAAAUAACAACAUCUACACCUGGUAGAGUGCUUCCAGCAUGAUCAGCAGAUGGCAAGGCUACCUGACUCUUUCACCAAUCCAGCAUUUGGACAGAUAUCUAACUAGUACAAAUUUACAAUAAUACAGCUAGUUUAUCCAGCACAAAUAAGAAAUAUAUUACCUCUGAA